rnacentral:piRNA from 1 species
UGCUGAACUAGUUGGAGGUCUAGAUG